rnacentral:rRNA from 1 species
GAUGAACGCUGGCGGCGUGCCUAAUACAUGCAAGUCGAGCGAACAGACGAGGAGCUUGCUCCUCUGACGUUAGCGGCGGACGGGUGAGUAACACGUGGAUAACCUACCUAUAAGACUGGGAUAACUUCGGGAAACCGGAGCUAAUACCGGAUAAUAUAUUGAACCGCAUGGUUCAAUAGUGAAAGACGGUUUUGCUGUCACUUAUAGAUGGAUCCGCGCCGCAUUAGCUAGUUGGUAAGGUAACGGCUUACCAAGGCAACGAUGCGUAGCCGACCUGAGAGGGUGAUCGGCCACACUGGAACUGAGACACGGCCCAGACUCCUACGGGAGGCAGCAGUAGGGAAUCUUCCGCAAUGGGCGAAAGCCUGACGGAGCAACGCCGCGUGAGUAAUGAAGGUCUUCGGAUCGUAAAACUCUGUUAUUAGGGAAGAACAAAUGUGUAAGUAACUAUGCACGUCUUGACGGUACCUAAUCAGAAAGCCACGGCUAACUACGUG